rnacentral:rRNA from 1 species
UGGGGAAUAUUGCGCAAUGGGCGAAAGCCUGACGCAGCAACGCCGCGUGGGGGAUGAAGGUUUUCGGAUUGUAAACCCCUUUCGAUCGGAACGAAUCUCCUCUUGGUAAAUAAUCAGGAGGAUCGACGGUACCGGGAGAAGAAGCCACGGCUAACUCUGUGCCAGCAGCCGCGGUAAGACAGAGGUGGCGAGCGUUGUUCGGAUUUAUUGGGCGUAAAGCGAACGCAGGUGGUUUGGUAAGUCAGGGGUGAAAGUCCACAGCUUAACUGUGGCACUGCCUUUGAUACUGCCUUUCUUGAGUGCAUGAGGGGGAAGCGGAAUUCCGAGUGUAGAGGUGAAAUUCGUAGAUAUUCGGAGGAACACCGGUGGCGAAGGCGGCUUCCUGGCAUGUAACUGACACUCAUGUUCGAAAGCGUGGGUAGCAAACAGG